rnacentral:misc_RNA from 1 species
GAUGAAGAACGUAGCGAAAUGCGAUAAGUAAUGCGAAUUGCAGAAUUCAGUGAAUCAUCGAGUCUUUGAACGCACAUUGCGCCCCCUGGUAUUCCGGGGGGCAUGCCUGUCCGAGCGUCAUUACUGCCCUCAAGCCCGGCUUGUGUGUUGGGCCCCGUCCUCCGAUCCCGGGGGACGGGCCCGAAAGGCAGCGGCGGCACCGCGUCCGGUCCUCGAGCGUAUGGGGCUUUGUCACCCGCUCUGUAGGCCCGGCCGGCGCUUGCCGAUCAACCCCAAUUUUUAUAGGUUGACCUCGGAUCAGGUAGGGAUACCCGCUGAACUUAAGCAUAUCAAUAAGCGGAGGA